GUAUUUUGAAUUAAGUAUUCAUAAUAUUUUUCAGACAAAUUAGUUAAAGAGUUGGUUGAUGUUUGGUCGUUCCCAUAGAAGAGAACGACUGACAUUGCACACAAGGUGGAUAUGGAUUUAAAAAGUGCCAUAAAACACUUAUUAUGAAUGAUCCUUCCGCAGGUUCACCUACGGAAA
rnacentral:misc_RNA from 1 species